rnacentral:RNase_P_RNA from 1 species
GGAGCAGGGCAGAUGGUCGCCGGCCCCGGCUGGUCCGGGGCGGGAGGAAAGUCCGGGCUCCAUAGGGCAGGGUGCUGGGUAACGCCCAGUCUCGGCGACGAGCAGGAAAGUGCCACAGAAAGCAAACCGCCGAGCGCUAAACCGGGCUCUGGAUGCCGCCCGCAUCGGACAGGGUUCGGGAAAGGACUCGGUAAGGGUGAAACGGUGAGGUAAGAGCUCACCAGUCCCGAUGGCGACAUCGGGAGCUAGGCAAACCCCACCCGGAGCAAGGCCAAGUAGGAGAGCGUUUGAGAGUGGCCCGCUCGAAGCUCUCGGGUCGGCCGCUUGAGCCCGCCGGAAACGGCGGGCCUAGAGGAAUGACCAUCGCCUCCGCCACAGGCGGAGGAACAGAACCCGGCUUACAACUGCUCCAGAU